UCUGGAUUCAAUCUUGACCACCGUAAUGAAUGUUUCAUACUGCUGGUCACAACACCUGUGUGCUAAAGAGAGAAAGGCAGUUUAUUUUCAGUCACCUCUAUUUCCUUUGCUCCUGGUAAUGGGAGGAUGUGCCCCUGAAAUGUGUCUGUAUGGAAGGAGGCUGGAGUUUGAACUGAACGCUUUAAGAUGGAUAAUCAAACAUUUGUGCUGUGUGCUGCUGUGUUUUUCCGCUCUGCCAACUGCAAGCCAGAGACGUUGCUUGAUCAGAGCACAAGGACUAAGGUCUGGCCUGCUUUCUGACUUAACUGAUGACAUUGCCACUUUGAUUCUAUUGUACCAUCAUUUCAUGCUUCUCUUUCCUCAUGUAAUGUUGGGCUGUGAUUUGCAAGUUUUUCAACCAAAUUCCACUGGAGCUUUCCAGACUCCUCUGUUUAGCUUUCAUUGCCCGGAGCUUGAUGGUUUAUACAAUUAAUAUGUUUCAAACUAGAAUGGGCAUAAUGUUUAAAGAACCAGCAACAAAUGUUAGCAAUUUGUUGUACACAUUUCCCUGUUUUCUUUGCUCUAUAGGUUGCUCAUUUUGAAACUCGUGUUAGUGGAGGGCUGGAGGAUGGAUAUUUCUGCUCUGAAAUGGCAGAGACUAAAGCAGAACCCAAUACAGCUCUUAGUAAUAUGAGGGCUGUGAUACUGCUGCCUGUAGGAACCUAUGCUGACACUUUUCAACUUGGCAUAACUCAAUAGAAGUGGUUCUCUGUAGUUAAAAGUCUGUGUGACUUGCUAAGCAAAAUUUACCUCAAGGUUAAAGUGGCAGAUUCCACCAGAAUUUAAAUAUCUCUUCAUUGGCAUCUUUCGAAAACCUUGGCCUCAGUGACCUGCUGGGUAGCUUCCACUUAUUGUGUGCUGUGUUACCUGCUCUAAUGUUUGGAAAUAAAACAGACUGAUGGUCAUCAGAAAUGAAAUGUCCAGUUUCCUGACAGACACGUUAUAAUCAGUGAUUUAAACAUUUAUCUUGAAAGAAAAAAAAAAUAGAUAGUAAGCCCUUGUUAAACACGGCACAAAAAUACAGGUCUUGGGGGGAACUUAGCUACUCCACUUUGAGUCCUGUUGGUCUCAUGAGGAGUUUGCUUAUUUCGUGUUGGUCUCUACCUGGAUUAUUAGUUCCUGAUUUGUUCAGUGUUUAGUCAGUCUUAAAGACUGGCUUGUAGAAAGCAAAUCUAUUUCUAAGGCUUUGUUUAAGCAGCAUAUAGAAAUAUUUUUCUUCAUGCUUAGGCUACACUUUGUCUAACUUUGUUUUUACUGUCCCUUUGCUUUCUGUCACAAUGUACUGAAUAAUAUGUGGUCCCUAACAGAGUAUAGAACUGAGCUCUGUUGUUGUAUGAGUUGUGAAGGAGCCUAUAGUUGGAGUAAUUGCAGACUGCUGAUUGAUGUCUGACAGAAUGCUCAGGAAAGGAAUAAAGGUACCAAAAUGUAUUGAAUACUUCA